rnacentral:rRNA from 1 species
UACAGAGGUCUCAAGCGUUGUUCGGAUUCAUUGGGCGUAAAGGGUGCGUAGGUGGCUUGGUAAGUCGGAUGUGAAAUCCCGGGGCUCAACCCCGGAACUGCAUUCGAUACUGCCAGGCUGGAGUACUGGAGAGGAGAUUGGAAUUUACGGUGUAGCAGUGAAAUGCGUAGAUAUCGUAAGGAAGACCAGUGGCGAAGGCGGAUCUCUGGACAGUUACUGACACUGAGGCACGAAGGCCAGGGGAGCAAACGGGG